AUUGAACGCUGGCGGCGUGCCUAACACAUGCAAGUCGAAGGAAGUGGCGCACGGGUGAGUAAUAUAUAGCUAAUCUGCCCCUUGCUGGAGGACAAUAGUUAGAAAUGACUGCUAAUACUCCAUAUCAAGGGAUGAGACGAGAUCGUAUCAGCUAGUCGGUGGGGUAACGGCCUCCCGAGGCUAUGACGCGUAACUGGUCUGAGAGGAUGAUCAGUCACAUUGGAACUGAGGCACGGUCCAGCAAUCUGCGAGAGGGAGCGGUAGGGAGUAUUGCGCAAGGGGGGGAACCCAGACGCAGCAACGCCGGGUAGAGGAUGACAAUUUUCGGGGAGUACACUCCUUUUGUUAAGGAAACGGUACCUAACGAAUAAGCACCGGCUAACUCCGUGCCAGCAGCCGCGGUAAUAC
rnacentral:rRNA from 1 species